AGGAUACUACUUCUAUAAUUCUACUCAACAAAAGAUAUUUAUUGGUAGGCAUGCUAUUUUCUUGAAGAAAAAGUUUAUCCAAGAAGGAGGCAAUAGGAGGUCUAUUGAACUUGAGGAAGUUCAAAACCUACAAUCCAUUCAAGAUUCACAAAAUGAUUUUCAACCAGAUCUAUCCAUUAUUGAGGCACAGCCACUACACACACUUCCUCUCCGA
rnacentral:lncRNA from 1 species